GCUUGCUUUGGCAACACACAUAUUAAAAUUGGAACGAUACAGAGAAGAUUGGCAUGGCGCAAGGAUGACACAAAUUCAUGAAGCAUUCCAUAUUUUU
rnacentral:snRNA from 1 species